CUACGGGGGGCAGCAGUAGGGAAUAUUGCACCAUGGGCGAAAGCCUGAUGCAGCAACGCCGCGUGAGCGAUGAAGGCCCUCGGGUCGUAAAGCUCUUUUCAAGGGGAAGAGGAAGGACGGUACCCUUGGAAUAAGUCUCGGCUAACUACGUGCCAGCAGCCGCGGUAAAACGUAGGAGGCGAGCGUUAUCCGGGUUUAUUGGGCGUAAAGCGCGUGUAGGCGGUACAGCAAGUUGGAUGUGAAAGCUCCUGGCUUAACUGGGAGAGGUCGUUCAAAACUGCUGAACUAGAGUACGGUAGAGGAAAAUGGAAUUCCGGGUGUAGUGGUGAAAUGCGUAGAUAUCCGGAGGAACACCAGAGGCGAAAGCGAUUUUCUGGACCGAAACUGACGCUCAGACGCGAAAGCUAGGGUAGCAAACGGGAUUAGAUACCCUGUAGUC
rnacentral:rRNA from 1 species